rnacentral:rRNA from 1 species
GACGAACGCUGGCGGCGUGCUUAACACAUGCAAGUCGAACGGAAAGGCCCUGCUUGCAGGGUUCUCGAGUGGCGAACGGGUGAGUAACACGUGGGUGAUUUGCCCUGCACUUCGGGUUAAGCCUGGGAAACUGGGUCUAAUACCGGAUAGGAGCCAUUUUUAGUGUGAUGGUUGGAAAGUUUUUUCGGUGUAGGCUGAGCUCGCGGCCUAUCGGCUUGUUGGUGGGGUAAUGGACUACCAAGGCGGCGACGGGUAGCCGGACUGAGAGGGUGGCCGGCCACCCUGGGACUGAGGGAAGGCCCAGACGCCUACUGGAGGCAGCAGUGGGAAAUAUUGCCCGAUGGGCGCAAGGCUGAUGCAGCGACGCCGCGUGGGGGAUGACGGCCUUCGGGUUGUAAACUCCUUUCGCUAGGGACGAAGCAUUUUGUGACGGUACCUAGAUAAGAAGCACCGGCUAACUACGUG